ACCAAGGCUUUCUUUUAAAAGCCAUCAAUUUAAACAAGUAAGAUAGCU
rfam:Lonchura striata domestica isolate white83orange57 scaffold_8, whole genome shotgun sequence.